AACGUAGGAGGCGAGCGUUAUCCGGAGUUACUGGGCGUAAAGCGCGUGUAGGUGGCUUGUUACGUCUGCUGUGAAAGCUCCCGGCUUAACCGGGACUAGGCGGUAGAUACGGGCAAGCUAGAGGGUGACAGAGGAGCGUAGAAUUCCGGGUGUAGUGGUGAAAUUCGUAGAUAUUCGCAAGAACACCAGUGGCGAAGGCGGCUCACUGGCCCGGUACUGACGCUGAGGUGCGAAAGCGUGGGGAGCAAACAGG
rnacentral:rRNA from 1 species